AUUGAACGCUAGCGGGAUGCCUUACACAUGCCAGUCGAACGGCAGCGCGGACUUCGGUCUGGCGGCGAGUGGCGAACGGGUGAGUAAUGUAUCGGAACGUGCCCAGUAGCGGGGGAUAACUACGCGAAAGCGUAGCUAAUACCGCAUACGCCCUACGGGGGAAAGCAGGGGAUCGUAAGACCUUGCACUAUUGGAGCGGCCGAUAUCGGAUUAGCUAGUUGGUGAGGUAACGGCUCACCAAGGCGACGAUCCGUAGCUGGUUUGAGAGGACGACCAGCCACACUGGGACUGAGACACGGCCCAGACUCCUACGGGAGGCAGCAGUGGGGAAUUUUGGACAAUGGGGGCAACCCUGAUCCAGCCAUCCCGCGUGUGCGAUGAAGGCCUUCGGGUUGUAAAGCACUUUUGGCAGGAAAGAAACGUCGCGGGCUAAUACCCCGUGGAACUGACGGUACCUGCAGAAUAAGCACCGGCUAACUACGUG
rnacentral:rRNA from 1 species